CACGUAGGGUGCGAGCGUUGUCCGGAAUUAUUGGGCGUAAAGAGCUCGUAGGCGGUGUGUCGCGUCGGCCGUGAAAACUUGCAGCUUAACUGUGGGCGUGCGGUCGAUACGGGCAUCACUGGAGUUCGGCAGGGGAGACUGGAAUUCCUGGUGUAGCGGUGAAAUGCGCAGAUAUCAGGAGGAACACCGGUGGCGAAGGCGGGUCUCUGGGCCGAUACUGACGCUGAGGAGCGAAAGCAUGGGUAGCGAACAGG
rnacentral:rRNA from 1 species